rnacentral:lncRNA from 1 species
GUGGAUUAUUCACCAUUGUCAAAUACCUCAUACCUCAGUCUAGUGAUCCUUUGAGGUUCUACAUUACAGUUUUCCAUGAGUAUUACUGCUUGUGUCCAUGAUACAAAAUUCAAAAAUUAAAAAUUUAAUUAAUUGUAUAAUUGAAUAAGGCCAAAAUAAUUGCCAGCCAUGUACUAAAUUGCAACAUCAUGCUUUCCCAUAAAUUCAAUUUCAUUAUCAUAAAAUUUAGCCUAAUUCAUUCAUCUGGGAAUUCUUGUAAAACUGAGAAAAAACCACUAAAAUUUUAACAUGUAAAACACAAUAAAAAUUCCCCAAUCAUAAAUCAGGAGAGAACGAAUUGAAAAUGAUCAGACAUCAACCUUCCAUAUCCCUAACUGCUUUCUUGGAAAUCCAAAUCUCUCAAGAGAGAAACUGGUAAGAAGCAGGCGUCAAUAAAAAGAUGGCUUAGAGCUUGCUUCCAUAUCCUAGCUGCUUUCUUGAACAUCCAAAUACUCCCUCUCUAGAGAGAUUGGAAAGAACCAGAUGCCUUCGCUUCUCUCUCUAGUUUCUAGAUUAAGACCUCAAAUCAUUGCUUGUCAGUGCGAUAUCAUCAACCCACUGCGUGUCUCACCGUGUGAGAUCAGAGACAACGAGGAAGGGGAGGAGGGGCCAAAAAACUCUUGCCAUUUUAGGGUAUAGUUGAGAGGGAAGGGAGUAAAAAGGGUGAGGCCUUAUAUUAAGGUGCACCUCAAAACUAUGAAUUUUGAUGCCCCCAAUAUGAAAUUUAAAAUUCGGCGAUGAUGAACUUGAUGAUCUUAAAAAUGGACGGACCAGAUGAUGUGUUAGAAGAUGAACUAUAAUAGGACUAAAAACCCCUUUUUCCUUUCAUGCCUAUGAUAUCAAAGUCGAGAAGUUCGAUUUGAUGUUUUUCCAAGAUAGGACCAACCUUCUCUAGUGGUUUUUUAGGUGCACCUUGCUCUUGGUUGACACUUUAUAUUAACUUUUUUUAAAAGUAAACAGUUAAGGCCGGUUUAAAAAAUGGAUUGGUGUUUUGGAUGGGACACCCUAAUAACACAUCAGGAUUGGUGAAUCAGCAAUUUGGAUUGAAAAUCAAUUAAAUUGAUCGAGUUUAG